GCAGUCUGUGAUAGCAGCGACGGAGAUGCGGCGUGCGUAUGUGGGCGUGUGGGUGCGAGCGAGGAGAGCACGAGGAGGGUGUGCGUGCGCACGGUGGCCACGCGCAUGAUGUGACGCAUCCCUUAGCACUCGAGUGAAGUUAGCCCUUCAAUCGGAUCCAUUCACAUGAGCGACUGCUUUCAGUUCCGUUUCAAGUUCAAGCCUUGGCUGACGCGGCACCCUCUCGCUCCGCCGCCUCCUCCGCCUACCGCUGCUGUGUGCUUGCACGCUUGUGUGUGUGUGUGUGUGUGCACGACUGCCGCGCACACCGCGCGUGUCCGCAACGAAUGAUGGCCUUUCCUCGACCGCUGUCUCCGCUGCUUUUUGCGCCACAUAGACGAUCACCGCGCGUGUGCGCACGCGUGUGUGUGCGUUGGUCGAACAAAACGCAUCAGAGAGUGUGUGAUCGGCGAGGAACGACCCCGUGCAAGCGGGGCGUGCGUCUGUGUGUGUGUGUGUGUGUGUGUGUGUGUGUGUGUGUCUGUGUCUGUGUAUCUGCGUAUGUGUGUGUGGCUGGUGCGCCCCUACCGCACACGCGCACGUGCCUGUGUAAGCAGACUGUGCAGAGCUCUGCAUCCGUUGUGCAGUCUGUGAUAGCAGCGACGGAGAUGCGGCGUGCGUAUGUGGGCGUGUGGGUGCGAGCGAGGAGAGCACGAGGAGGGUGUGCGUGCGCACGGUGGCCACGCGCAUGAUGUGACGCAUCCCUUAGCACUCGAGUGAAGUUAGCCCUUCAAUCGGAUCCAUUCACAUGAGCGACUGCUUUCAGUUCCGUUUCAAGUUCAAGCCUUGGCUGACGCGGCACCCUCUCGCUCCGCCGCCUCCUCCGCCUACCGCUGCUGUGUGCUUGCACGCUUGUGUGUGUGUGUGUGUGCACGACUGCCGCGCACACCGCGCGUGUCCGCAACGAAUGAUGGCCUUUCCUCGACCGCUGUCUCCGCUGCUUUUUGCGCCACAUAGACGAUCACCGCGCGUGUGCGCACGCGUGUGUGUGCGUUGGUCGAACAAAACGCAUCAGAGAGUGUGUGAUCGGCGAGGAACGACCCCGUGCAAGCGGGGCGUGCGUCUGUGUGUGUGUGUGUGUGUGUGUGUGUGUGUGUGUCUGUGUCUGUGUAUCUGCGUAUGUGUGUGUGGCUGGUGCGCCCCUACCGCACACGCGCACGUGCCUGUGUAAGCAGACUGUGCAGAGCUCUGCAUCCGUUGUGCAGUCUGUGAUAGCAGCGACGGAGAUGCGGCGUGCGUAUGUGGGCGUGUGGGUGCGAGCGAGGAGAGCACGAGGAGGGUGUGCGGAUGAGAAUAUCUGUGAGCGUGGCGUUGUCUUUUGGAGACGCACGCACGGUGUUGUGGUGAAUAGCGUCGAGCCCGUCUUACAUGCACGCAUGCGCGCCCG
rnacentral:misc_RNA from 1 species